rnacentral:rRNA from 1 species
UACGUAGGGUGCAAGCGUUGUCCGGAAUUAUUGGGCGUAAAGAGCUCGUAGGCGGUCUGUCGCGUCUGCUGUGAAAACUCGGGGCUUAACCCCGGGCCUGCAGUGGGUACGGGCAGACUAGAGUGCGGUAGGGGAGACUGGAAUUCCUGGUGGUAGCGGUGAAAUGCGCAGAUAUCAGGAGGAACACCGGUGGCGAAGGCGGGUCUCUGGGCCGUAACUGACGCUGAGGAGCGAAAGCAUGGGGAGCGAACAGG